CUCAUACUCGGAGGUAUUACACCCCUCGGGCCAAAUCAUAGUUAGUCGCCUCUCAUUUUGUGGCAUAGAGAGGGCCUCACCUGUCACUCCCAUUCUAUCUUAUGGUUAACUGUCACCGAGAGGCCAACACCCCGCCACAACGUUCAGUGGCCACGUUAUCCCCUUGCGCCAACGCAUAGAUAGUGCCUCUCACGCCGCUUGGCAUCUAGCAGGGCCUCACCUGUCACCAAACCUAGUCUUAAUUGUUUUGCUUUUUGGCUUUAGCUAGUAUGCCAGCACACACACACACACACACACUUUCACACACACAUGCACCAUGGGUUGUUUAUGUGCUGUCUAUUCGUUUUCUCUUUCUAGCAGGUCUCCGCUGCUAGGUGAUUGGGGUGUUUUGUUUUUUCCACCCAGGCUCUCUGGCUAGGUCUGGUACUCAUCACGCUGUGGAGUUUUUGGCUAUUCUUACCUUCUUUUCA